rnacentral:rRNA from 1 species
GACGAACGCUGGCGGCGCGCUUAACACAUGCAAGUCGAGCGAUGAAACUUUAACAGAACCCUUCGGGGCGAAGAUAAAGUGGAUUAGCGGCGGACGGGUGAGUAACACGUGAGUAACCUGCCUUAGACAUUGGGAUAGCCUCGGGAAACCGGGAUUAAUACCAAAUAAAAUCAUAAUGACACAUGUCAUAACGAUCAAAACUCCGGUGGUCUAAGAUGGACUCGCGUCCCAUUAGCUAGUUGGUAGAGUAAAAGCCUACCAAGGCGGCGAUGGGUAGCCGGCCUGAGAGGGUGAACGGCCACAUUGGAACUGAGAAACGGUCCAAACUCCUACGGGAGGCAGCAGUGGGGAAUAUUGCACAAUGGAGGGAACUCUGAUGCAGCGACGCCGCGUGAACGAAGAAGGCUUUCGAGUCGUAAAGUUCUUUUAUAUGGGAAGAUAAUGACGGUACCAUAGGAAAAAGCCCCGGCUAACUACGUG